rnacentral:rRNA from 1 species
UACGUAGGGGGCGAGCGUUGUCCGAAGUUACUGGGCGUAAAGCGCGCGUAGGCGGGUUCUUAAGUGAGGGGUGAAGGGUUUGGGCUCAACCCAAACACUGCCUUUCAUACUGGGAGCCUUGAGAGCGGGAGAGGCGAGUGGAAUGGUCGGUGUAGCGGUGAAAUGCGUAGAUAUCGUUUGGAACGCCGAUGGUGAAAACAGGUUGCUGGGAGUGUGCUGACGCUGAGACACGAAAGCCAGGGGAGCAAACGGG